AAUAGAUACCCAGGUAGUCCACGCCGUAAACGACUGAGUGCUAAGUGUUAGAGGGUUUCCGCCCUUUAGGUGCUGAAGUUAACGCAUUAAGCACUCCGCCUGGGGAGUACGGCCGCAAGGCUGAAACUCAAAGGAAUUGACGGGGGCCCGCACAAGCGGUGGAGCAUGUGGUUUAAUUCGAAGCAACGCGAAGAACCUUACCAGGUCUUGACAUCCUCUGACAACCCUAGAGAUAGGGCUUCUCCUUCGGGGAGCAGAGUGACAGGUGGUGCAUGGUUGUCGUCAGCUCGUGUCGUGAGAUGUUGGGUUAAGUCCCGCAACGAGCGCAACCCUUGAUCUUAGUUGCCAUCAUUAAGUUGGGCACUCUAAGGUGACUGCCGGUGACAAACCGGAGGAAGGUGGGGAUGACGUCAAAUCAUCAUGCCCCUNAUGACCUGGGCUACACACGUGCUACAAUGGACGGUACAAAGAGCUGCAAGACCGNGAGGUGGAGCUAAUCUCAUAAACCCGUUNUCAGUUCGGAUUGUAGG
rnacentral:rRNA from 1 species